GCCAGUGUGUGGUCCCAGAAAACCUCAGGUUGGACUGCGGUUACCCCGGCAUCCCAGCUAAGCAGUGCAUCUACCAUGGCUGCUGCUUUGAUCCCAGUAUCCGGUAUGCACACAAGUGCUUCAUGCCUCUGCAGAACCCAGAAUAAAAAUUUUGAUUCCGUCCAGGCUCUGGGAAAGCGGCCUCUGCACACUGCACACUGGCUGGCGGUGGUGGCCAAGGGCUGCGCUCAUCCCUGCUCUGCUCUCUCUGCUGCUGCCCAAAUGGGAACCUGGAGUCCUGAGGAAUAAAGACCACACACUCAGCAUGAGGCUGCUCUGAUGGCUGAGA